GAUGGAGUGUGCAAGGAGACUCUUUGAUGAGGUUCCUAAAAGGGAUGUUGUCACCUGGAAUGCAAUGAUUGCAGGGUAUGUGCUUUGUGGGGAGAAUGAGCAAGCAUUGCUAAUGUAUGAGGAGAUGAGAAGCGUGGGAGAGCGACCAGAUGAGGUCACUAUGCUGAGUCUUUUGUCCGCCUGCGCAGAUUUAGGAGAUUUGGAGGUUGGCAUGAAGGUGCACAUCUCAAUUUUGAAAAUGAG
rnacentral:misc_RNA from 1 species